rnacentral:rRNA from 1 species
GUUGAACGCUGGCGGCAGGCUUAACACAUGCAAGUCGAGCGGGGUGAUGGUGCUUGCACUAUCACUUAGCGGCGGACGGGUGAGUAAUGCUUAGGAAUCUGCCUAUUAGUGGGGGACAACAUCUCGAAAGGGAAGCUAAUACCGCAUACGUCCUACGAGAGAAAGCAGGGGAUCACUUGUGACCUUGCGCUAAUAGAUGAGCCUAAGUCGGAUUAGCUAGUUGGUGGGGUAAAGGCCUACCAAGGCGACGAUCUGUAGCGGGUCUGAGAGGAUGAUCCGCCACACUGGGACUGAGACACGGCCCAGACUCCUACGGGAGGCAGCAGUGGGGAAUAUUGGACAAUGGGGGGAACCCUGAUCCAGCCAUGCCGCGUGUGUGAAGAAGGCCUUAUGGUUGUAAAGCACUUUAAGCGAGGAGGAGGCUCUUUUGGUUAAUACCCAAGAUGAGUGGACGUUACUCGCAGAAUAAGCACCGGCUAACUCUGUGCCAGCAGCCGCCGUAA